UAAUGCUUGGGAACUUGCCUUUAGGAGGGGGAUAACAGUUGGAAACGACUGCUAAUACCGCAUAAUGUCUACGGACCAAAGGGGGCUUCGGCUCUCACCUAAAGAGAGGCCCAAGUGAGAUUAGCUAGUUGGUAAGGUAAAAGCUUACCAAGGCGACGAUCUCUAGCUGUUCUGAGAGGAAGAUCAGCCACACUGGGACUGAGACACGGCCCAGACUCCUACGGGAGGCAGCAGUGGGGAAUAUUGCACAAUGGGGGAAACCCUGAUGCAGCCAUGCCGCGUGUGUGAAGAAGGCCUUCGGGUUGUAAAGCACUUUCAGUUGUGAGGAAAGGUUGGUAGUUAAUACCUGCCAGCUGUGACGUUAACAACAGAAGAAGCACCGGCUAACUCCGUGCCAGCAGCCGCGGUAAUACGGAGGGUGCGAGCGUUAAUCGGAAUUACUGGGCGUAAAGCGCACGCAGGCGGUUUGUUAAGCUAGAUGUGAAAGCCCCGGGCUCAACCUGGGAUGGUCAUUUAGAACUGGCAGACUAGAGUCUUGGAGAGGGGAGUGGAAUUUCCAGGUGUAGCGGUGAAAUGCGUAGAUAUCUGGAGGAACAUCAGUGGCGAAGGCGGCUCCCUGGCCAAAGACUGACGCUCAUGUGCGAAAGUGUGGGUAGCGAACAGGAUUAGAUACCCUGGUAGUCCACACCGUAAACGCUGUCUACUAGCUGUUUGUGAAUUUAAUUCGUGAGUAGCGAAGCUAACGCGAUAAGUAGACCGCCUGGGGAGUACGGCCGCAGGNUAAAACUCAAU
rnacentral:rRNA from 1 species